GACGAACCGUGCGAACGUUAUUCGGAAUCACUGGGCUUAAAGCGCGUGUAGGCGGGACGGCACGUCGGUCGCUGAAAGCCCCCGGCUCAACCGGGGAACGGGCGCCGAUACGACCGUCCUGGAGGGACGUAGGGGGACCUGGAACAUCCGGUGGAGCGGUGAAAUGCGUUGAGAUCGGAUGGAACGCCCGUGGCGAAAGCGAGGUCCUGGACGUUUUCUGACGCUGAGACGCGAAAGCCAGGGGGGCGAACGGG
rnacentral:rRNA from 1 species